rnacentral:lncRNA from 1 species
ACUCCUGGUCCGCUGUCUUGUGGCUAUCAUUCUGUGUUCAGGCUUCAUACUUGCCCACUGCCUGGGUUUGAAGAUCUUGCCUGUUUAAACCAGAUACAACACUGUUGCCUCGGUCAUAUAUAUGAGUGCCUGCAAGAGCAAUGGGUUCGGGGUGGAGGAGGAUGCUGGACCAAGGCUCUUCUCUAAGAAAACUUUGGGGCAGAUGAAGAAGGCUAUGCUAAACAGGAGGCCAGUUCCUUCCCUAGUUACACUUAGAAACUUCCAGCAUCUAGGCUUUAGCUUCUCAUAUAGCAUCCUAGAGACCCAAAAUAAAAUCCCUACCCAAAUGGUCUGAUGACCUGAGUCACAUUCUGCCCAAGUAGCUCGCUCCUGCAUCUUUUUUCCCCCUUUCUGAGAAAGUCUCUGGUUUCUGAGUCACCAGCAUCCUUGGUGGUUAUUUUCCCAGCUCCCAUCUUUCCCUUAGUUAUCUUUAAGCCGUUCUUCGUAUCAGAAAUGUUGCCAGCCUCUUCGAGGCAGCCCACUGGAUAGCACACCAAAAUUAGCUUUAUCAAAACCCACAAUUAGAGGAGGGCCAUUUUUAUUCAAACAAAGCUGGAAUUUGACAGGAUUAAAUACCUUGUAUUGAAAUCAAUGGCAAUCAUGAAUUAUGGAUUCUUUGCAAAGAGCGAGGAAAAAUUAGCUCCUGGGCCUGCUUCCAAAGUCGGGAUAAACUUAUGACAAACCCGAUAUCGACCAGUCAUAUUUUAGAUGUCUUUAAAAUUUACCAGCAUUUCUGGUUACAAGGAAUUUAUUAGACCAAAUGCAGUAAAACAGCAUGAGACAGAUGAAGCAAUUUUAUUUUUGAACUAUGGGUAGACAGAAUACUGGAUACAGGUGGCUGUUGCUAUUUUGAGCUUGAUUCUGGUGACAGGAUAUGGCAAGUUGCUUCAGUCUUUGUAUAUCAUUAAUCGUCAAGAACACAUGUCACUCAGUGAGCUGCUCAGCUACCUCAGGGUAGGAGGUAGCUGGAGAUCUUAAGGGUACAUGAGGAAGGAAGAAUAAUGCCCCCACACUGCUAUAGAUGUCCAAAUAUUCACCCUCAUCUCUGGUUUGAAUGCAUUUGCCCAAAAGUAAUUUUCUGAAGAUUAACAUCCAGUGGGAAUAUAUUUGGAAGAAAUUGAUUAGGUCAAGACUGAUAUGACCUACAAAUAAAAAUCAAUUAAUGAUGCUAUCACAGAAAAGGUUUA